AUAACCAUUGGAAACGAUGGCUAAUACCGCAUGAUGCCUACGGGCCAAAGAGGGGGACCUUCGGGCCUCUCGCGUCAGGAUAUGCCUAGGUGGGAUUAGCUAGUUGGUGAGGUAAGGGCUCACCAAGGCGACGAUCCCUAGCUGGUCUGANAGGAUGAUCAGCCACACUGGAACUGANACACGGUCCAGACUCCUACGGGAGGCAGCAGUGGGGAAUAUUGCACAAUGGGCGCAAGCCUGAUGCAGCCAUGCCGCGUGUGUGAANAAGGCCUUCGGGUUGUAAAGCACUUUCAGUCCUUGAGGAAGGUGGUGUAGUUAAUAGCUGUAUUAUUUGACGUUAGCGACAGAAANAAGCACCGGCUAACUCCGUGCCAACAGCCCGCGGUAAUUACCGGAAAGGUGC
rnacentral:rRNA from 1 species